rnacentral:rRNA from 13 species
AAAUUGAAGAGUUUGAUCAUGGCUCAGAUUGAACGCUGGCGGCAGGCCUAACACAUGCAAGUCGAACGGUAACAGGAAGCAGCUUGCUGCUUCGCUGACGAGUGGCGGACGGGUGAGUAAUGUCUGGGAAACUGCCUGAUGGAGGGGGAUAACUACUGGAAACGGUAGCUAAUACCGCAUAACGUCGCAAGACCAAAGAGGGGGACCUUCGGGCCUCUUGCCAUCGGAUGUGCCCAGAUGGGAUUAGCUUGUUGGUGGGGUAACGGCUCACCAAGGCGACGAUCCCUAGCUGGUCUGAGAGGAUGACCAGCCACACUGGAACUGAGACACGGUCCAGACUCCUACGGGAGGCAGCAGUGGGGAAUAUUGCACAAUGGGCGCAAGCCUGAUGCAGCCAUGCCGCGUGUAUGAAGAAGGCCUUCGGGUUGUAAAGUACUUUCAGCGGGGAGGAAGGGAGUAAAGUUAAUACCUUUGCUCAUUGACGUUACCCGCAGAAGAAGCACCGGCUAACUCCGUGCCAGCAGCCGCGGUAAUACGGAGGGUGCAAGCGUUAAUCGGAAUUACUGGGCGUAAAGCGCACGCAGGCGGUUUGUUAAGUCAGAUGUGAAAUCCCCGGGCUCAACCUGGGAACUGCAUCUGAUACUGGCAAGCUUGAGUCUCGUAGAGGGGGGUAGAAUUCCAGGUGUAGCGGUGAAAUGCGUAGAGAUCUGGAGGAAUACCGGUGGCGAAGGCGGCCCCCUGGACGAAGACUGACGCUCAGGUGCGAAAGCGUGGGGAGCAAACAGGAUUAGAUACCCUGGUAGUCCACGCCGUAAACGAUGUCGACUUGGAGGUUGUGCCCUUGAGGCGUGGCUUCCGGAGCUAACGCGUUAAGUCGACCGCCUGGGGAGUACGGCCGCAAGGUUAAAACUCAAAUGAAUUGACGGGGGCCCGCACAAGCGGUGGAGCAUGUGGUUUAAUUCGAUGCAACGCGAAGAACCUUACCUGGUCUUGACAUCCACGGAAGUUUUCAGAGAUGAGAAUGUGCCUUCGGGAACCGUGAGACAGGUGCUGCAUGGCUGUCGUCAGCUCGUGUUGUGAAAUGUUGGGUUAAGUCCCGCAACGAGCGCAACCCUUAUCCUUUGUUGCCAGCGGUCCGGCCGGGAACUCAAAGGAGACUGCCAGUGAUAAACUGGAGGAAGGUGGGGAUGACGUCAAGUCAUCAUGGCCCUUACGACCAGGGCUACACACGUGCUACAAUGGCGCAUACAAAGAGAAGCGACCUCGCGAGAGCAAGCGGACCUCAUAAAGUGCGUCGUAGUCCGGAUUGGAGUCUGCAACUCGACUCCAUGAAGUCGGAAUCGCUAGUAAUCGUGGAUCAGAAUGCCACGGUGAAUACGUUCCCGGGCCUUGUACACACCGCCCGUCACACCAUGGGAGUGGGUUGCAAAAGAAGUAGGUAGCUUAACCUUCGGGAGGGCGCUUACCACUUUGUGAUUCAUGACUGGGGUGAAGUCGUAACAAGGUAACCGUAGGGGAACCUGCGGUUGGAUCACCUCCUUACCUUAAAGAAGC